GAUGAACGCUAGCGGCAGGCUUAAUACAUGCAAGUCGAACGGCAAGUUUGGUAGCAAUAUCGAACCUAGAGUGACGUACGGGUGCGUAACACGUAUGCAACCUACCCUUUACAGGAGGAUAGCUCGGGGAAACUCGAAUUAACCCUCCAUAACAUAGUUGAAUGGCAUCAUUUGAUUAUUAAAACUCAGGUGGUAAAGGAUGGGCAUGCGUCUGAUUAGUUAGUUGGCGGGGUAACGGCCCACCAAGACG
rnacentral:rRNA from 1 species